UACGUAGGGGGCCAGCGUUGCUCGGAAUUACUGGGCGUAAAGGGUUCGUAGGUGGUGCGGCAAGUUGGGAGUGAAAUCUCUGGGCUUAACUCAGAGGCUGCUUUCAAAACUGCCGCGCUCGAGUGCGAGAGAGGUCAGUGGAAUUGCAGGUGUAGCGGUGAAAUGCGUAGAUAUCUGCAGGAACACCCGUGGCGAAGGCGGCUGACUGGAUCGCAACUGACACUGAGGAACGAAAGGCUAAGGGGAGCAAACAGG
rnacentral:rRNA from 1 species